GAUGAAGAACGUAGCGAAAUGCGAUACUUGGUGUGAAUUGCAGAAUCCCGUGAAUCAUCGAGUCUUUGAACGCAAGUUGCGCCCGAAGCCUUUUGGCCGAGGGCACGUCUGCCUGGGUGUCACGCAACGUCGCCGCCAGCACACCCUUCCCUUAGGGGAUCGGGAUGUAGCUGGGGGCGGAUGAUGGCCUCCCGUGCGCCUCGCCGCGCGGUUGGCAUAAAUGCCAAGUCCUCGGCGACGCACGCCACGACAAUCGGUGGUUGCGAAACCUCGGUUGCCCGUCGUGUGCGGUCGUCGCGCAUCGAGGGCUCGAAAAAAUUGCCGGGUUUCGGCUCGGCUUUCAACGCGACCCCAGGUCAGGCGGGGUUACCCGCUGAAUUUAAGCAUAUCAAUAAGCGGAGGA
rnacentral:misc_RNA from 1 species